rnacentral:rRNA from 1 species
UCGGGAAUCUUGGGCAAUGGGCGAAAGCCUGACCCAGCAACGCCGCGUGAGGGAUGAAGGCCUUCGGGUCGUAAACCUCUGUCGGGAGGGAAGAACGGUGACGUUUCGAAUAGGCUCGUCACCUGACGGUACCUCCAAAGGAAGCACCGGCUAACUCCGUGCCAGCAGCCGCGGUAAUACGGAGGGUGCAAGCGUUGUUCGGAAUCACUGGGCGUAAAGCGCGUGUAGGCGGCUUGGCAAGUCGAAUGUGAAAUCCCGGGGCCCAACCCCGGAACUGCAUCCGAAACUGCCUCGCUAGAGUCUCGGAGAGGAAGGCAGAAUUCCCGGUGUAGGGGUGAAAUCCGUAGAUAUCGGGAGGAAUACCAGCGGCGAAGGCGGCCUUCUGGACGAUGACUGACGCUGAGACGCGAAAGCGUGGGGAGCAAACAGGAUUAGAUACCCCCGUAGUCC